rnacentral:rRNA from 1 species
CCUACGGGAGGCAGCAGUGAGGAAUAUUGGUCAAUGGGAGAGAUCCUGAACCAGCCAAGCCGCGUGAGGGAAGACGGCCCUAUGGGUUGUAAACCUCUUUUGUCGGAGAACAAAACCCGGGACGUGUCCCGGACUGCGUGUAUCCGAAGAAAAAGCAUCGGCUAACUCCGUGCCAGCAGCCGCGGUAAUACGGAGGAUGCGAGCGUUAUCCGGAUUUAUUGGGGUUAAAGGGUGCGUAGGCGGUCCGUUAAGUCAGCGGGAAAAUUGCGGGGCUCAACCCCGUCGAGCCGUUGAAACUGGCAGACUUGAGUUGGCGAGAAGUACGCGGAAUGCGCGGUGUAGCGGUGAAAUGCAUAGAUAUCGCGCAGAACUCCGAUUGCGAAGGCAGCGUACCGGCGCCAGACUGACGCUGAGGCACGAAAGCGUGGGGAUCGAACAGGAUUAGAUACCCUAGUAGUC